rnacentral:sRNA from 1 species
AUCUUUAGAUGAUUGUACAUAGAUGAAUAUAUUCAAGCUUUGGGAAUUCAUUCCCUGAAGUACUGUUAUCAACAAAAAGAAGAUAAGAAGGACCGUUCAACGACAGAAGGACAGUUGAUAUGAGGCCUGCUUCCAAUGCUGGCUUCAAAGUAAUCACAAAGCUUAUUCAUUCUACAUUCUGAUUUCAAUCUACUGUUAUACGUUGCACUCGUUGUAAAAACGCUAUUUUUUUUUAAUCUAAU